rnacentral:rRNA from 1 species
CCUACGGGAGGCAGCAGUAGGGAAUAUUGCUCAAUGGGGGAAACCCUGAAGCAGCAACGCCGCGUGGAGGAUGAAGGUUUUCGGAUUGUAAACUCCUUUUGUUAGAGAAGAUAAUGACGGUAUCUAACGAAUAAGCACCGGCUAACUCCGUGCCAGCAGCCGCGGUAAUACGGAGGGUGCAAGCGUUACUCGGAAUCACUGGGCGUAAAGAGCGCGUAGGCGGGAUAGCAAGUCAGAUGUGAAAUCCUAUGGCGUAACCAUAGAACUGCAUUUGAAACUGUUAUUCUAGAGUAUGGGAGAGGUAAGUGGAAUUCUUGGUGUAGGGGUAAAAUCCGUAGAGAUCAAGAGGAAUACUCGUGGCGAAGGCGACUUACUAGAACAUAACUGACGUUGAGGCGCGAAGGCGUGGGGAGCAAACAGGAUUAGAUACCCCAGUAGUC